GAUGAAGAACGUAGUGAAAUGCGAUAAGUAAUGUGAAUUGCAGAAUUCAGUGAAUCAUCGAAUCUUUGAACGCACAUUGCGCCCGCCAGUAUUCUGGCGGGCAUGCCUGUUCGAGCGUCAUUACAACCCUCAGGCCCCCGGGCCUGGCGUUGGGGAUCGGCGGAAGCACCCUGUGGGCACACGCCGUCCCUCAAAUACAGUGGCGGUCCCGCCGCAGCUUCCAUUGCGUAGUAGCUAACACCUCGCAACUGGAGAGCGGCGCGGCCAUGCCGUAAAACACCCAACUUCUGAAUGUUGACCUCGAAUCAGGUAGGAAUACCCGCUGAACUUAAGCAUAUCAAUAAGCGGAGGA
rnacentral:misc_RNA from 1 species